AAGUCGUAACAAGGUUUCCGUAGGUGAACCUGCGGAAGGAUCAUUACCAAUUUUAGCGAGCCUGGUCUUGUUGACCAUGGUUUCGUGAAAAUCGUAUUUAAAACCCCACUCUUAUAAAAAUUGAAUCAUAUUUUUGUAUAAAAUGAAGAUCACUUUCAACAACGGAUCUCUUGGCUCUC
rnacentral:misc_RNA from 1 species